GACGAACGCUGGCGGCGUGCCUAAUACAUGCAAGUAGAACGCACAGUUUAUACCGUAGCUUGCUACACCAUAAACUGUGAGUUGCGAACGGGUGAGUAACGCGUAGGUAACCUGCCUGGUAGCGGGGGAUAACUAUUGGAAACGAUAGCUAAUACCGCAUAAUAUUGAUUAUUGCAUGAUAAUUGAUUGAAAGAUGCUAUUGCAUCACUACCAGAUGGACUUGCGUUGUAUUAGCUAGUAGGUGAGGUAACGGCGCACCUAGGCGACGAUACAUAGCCGACCUGAGAGGAUGAUCGGCCACACUGAGACUGAGACACGGCCCAGACGCCUACGGGAGGCAGCAGUAGGGAAUCUUCGGCAAUGGACGAAAGUCAGACCGAGCAACGCCGCGUGAGUGAAGAAGGUUUUCGGAUCGUAAAGCUCUGUUGUAAGAGAAGAACGGGUGUGAGAGUGGAAAGUUCACACUGUGACGGUAUCUUACCAGAAAGGGACGGCUAACUACGUG
rnacentral:rRNA from 1 species